rnacentral:lncRNA from 1 species
CCCGUUGUUCCCCACCGCUCAACGCCGUCCCCGUUGUCCCCCGUUGUUCCCCGCUGCUCACUGCUGUCCCCUGUUGUGCCCUGUCGUCCCCCGCCGCACCCUGCCAUUCUCCGUCACUCGCUGCCGUUCCCCGUCAUUCCCCGUGGCUCUCUGUCGUCCCCCGCCACUCGCUGCCGUUCCCCGUCAUUCCCCGCCGCUCUCCGUCUUCCCCCGUCGCUCACCGCCGUCCCCUGCCGUUCACCCGCUUGCUGCCGCUUGCCCCCUCUUGCCACCGUCCCCCGUCGCCCCUCGUUGUUCCCCGAUGCUCGACGCCAUCCCCCGUCGUUCCUCACCGCUCGCUGCUGUCCCCUGUUGUCCCCCGUCGUCCCCCUCUGUCCCACGCCGCUUCCCGCCGUUUCCCCGCUGCUGCCGCUCGCCCCCACUUGCCGCCGUCCCCCGUCGUCCCCCGCUGCUUGAUGCCGUCCCCCGUUGUCCCCUGGCAUCCUCCGUCAUCUGCCGGCGUCCCCUGCCGCUUUCCGCCGUCCCCCGCCGUUCCCCCGCUGCUGCUGCUUGCCCCAUCUUGCCGCCGUCCCCCGUCAUCCCUUGUUGUUCCCCGCCGCUCAAUGCCAUCCCCCGUUGUCCCCCGUUGUUCCCCGCUGCUUGCCGCUGUCUCCCGUCGUCCCCUGCUGCUCCCUGCCGUUCCUCGUCGCUCGCCGCCGUUCCCUGUCAUUCCCGCCGCUCUCCGUCGUCACCCGCCGCUUGCUGCUGUCCCUCGCUGCUCCCCGCUGUUUCACCACUGCCGCCGCUCGCCCCCACUUGCCGCCGUCCCCCGUCGUCUCCCGCUGCUCGAUGCCGUCCCCCGUUGUCCCCUGGCAUCCUCCGUCAUCUGCCGGUGUCCCCCGCCGCUCUCCGCCGUCCCCCGCCGCUCACCGCCGUCCCCGGCUGUUCCCCUGCUGCCGCUGCUUGCCCCCUCAUGCCACCGUCCCCCGUCGUCCCUCGUUGUUCCCCGCCGCUUGAUGCCGUCCCCCGUCGUCCCCCGUUGUUCCCCGCUGCUCGCCACUGUCCCCCGUUGUCCCCUGCCGCUCCCUGCAGUUCCCCGUCGCUCGCCGCCGUUCCCCGUCAUUCCCCCCCGCUCUCCGCCGUCCCCCGCCGCUCGCUGCCAUCCCUCGCCGCUCGAUGUCGUCCCCUGUUGUCCCCUGUCGUCCCCUGUCGUCCCCC